GCCGCGAUCGCAUAACCUGGUAGUGCGCAAGAUUGCUAAUCUUGUGACCGUAAGGUCAUCUGGGUUCAAAUCCCAGUCGCGGCG
rnacentral:tRNA from 1 species